rnacentral:rRNA from 1 species
ACAAUGGAAGUAGAGGAAAGUGGCGGACGGGUGAGUAACGCGUGAGGAACCUGCCUUGAAGAGGGGGACAACAGUUGGAAACGACUGCUAAUACCGCAUGAUACAUUUGGGUGGCAUCAUCUGAAUGUCAAAGAUUUAUCGCUGAAAGAUGGCCUCGCGUCUGAUUAGCUAGUUGGUGAGGUAACGGCCCACCAAGGCGACGAUCAGUAGCCGGACUGAGAGGUUGAACGGCCACAUUGGGACUGAGAUACGGCCCAGACUCC